rnacentral:rRNA from 1 species
UACGUAGGGCGCAAGCGUUGUCCGGAAUUAUUGGGCGUAAAGAGCGUGUAGGCGGCCAGGUAGGUCUGCUGUGAAAACUCGAGGCUUAACCUCGAGCUGUCGGCGGAAACCAUCUGGCUAGAGUCCGGAAGAGGAGAAUGGAAUUCCCGGUGUAGCGGUGAAAUGCGCAGAUAUCGGGAAGAACACCCGUGGCGAAGGCGGUUCUCUGGGCCUUACCUGACGCUGAGGAGCGAAAGCGUGGGGAGCGAACAGG